GGACCGGCCGCCAUUUUGCUGUUGAGCGGCGGCCGUGAGGAUGCGGAUCCGCCGCGAUGUGGAGGCCGAGGGCCGCGGUGCGGAGCCGGUUGGGGUUGGGGGUGCUGUGUCUCCUUGGAUGGGCUGAAGGCUCUUGGCCUUCCUGAGGUGUGAGAGCCCACAGAGGCCAUUGCAGCUUCUGAUACGCAGCAGAGACAGAGCAUCCCCGGCACCUCUUGGACAGAGCUGACAGCCUACCACCUCAUGAAGAACAUAUUGAAAGAAACCAGCUAGGCCAGGUGAGAACUACCUUCUGGUCUGCAAUCCAAAACCAAACCUUCAGAGCACAUCUGAGCCCUGACAUCAAUAACUGGGUGUGGAUGAACUGCUGGAGGUUUGUGCUCUGCUGUACUGCAUCAACAGCCCCAUGAGGGAAUGCAGGAGGAUGAAGGAAACACUCAUCUGCAAACCAAAUGGCUCCUUAGUGCUGAAAUCCCUCUAAGUGCUCUCUGGGUAGUACUGAAGGAGUCUGGGAUAACUGGGGGCUGUAUUGGUAGAGCCACAGAUUAUAAAGCACUAGGAGAAUAUUUGGGGAAUUACCACCUUAACAUUGCUCUAACUCUGAGCACCCACAGCUGGCCAUUACCACAGGCAAGGCCAGAUGAUCUUGCAGUCUUUCAUCCAUGGAUUUCUCAAAUAAAUGCCAUGUGUACAGUGAAGACAAUUGAUGCCCUCCUAUUGAUGCCCUACCCAAAAUGUCUGACUAGAGAAAUAAUAAAACUAACAAAACAACAUGCCGUGUUUAAAACCAUCCAGUUCUACACAGUGUACUAAAUAAAAGCACAGUAAUGCAUCUCAUCUUCUAAUUUCCAGCAUAAUACAUAACCCGUUACAUCUAAAGGAACUGCCUCCCUUUGACAAGGGCAAAAAACUGCAGGUAUUUUCCCAAGGCUGACAGUUAUGCAGUUCCAAGCAGGGCCACGAGUCUAGGUCUGAUCAGUCCCCAACUCCUCUGCAUCUUAAAUGAUACAUUAAUUAGCACUUGUCCAAUAACUGACAAACUCAGUGAAAGAUAUCUGUGACAUCGAAAAGCUGCCUACCCAUUUCUACCCUCUGUGUUAAGUUUCAUCAAUAAUCUUCUUCAUGAGGAACACAACAGUCUUCAGAAUUCUUUCUGUGUCACAGACAGAAAAGGCUUUGGGGACAGAUAUAUUCUAUUUUCUUUCACUAAUGCUGUAAAUAAACUCUCAAGGCACAGCUGCAGUGUUUUACUGCAUUUAACCCAGAAAUUCACUGACUAUGCAGUUAUGUACACGCUCAGCUCUGUACCCAAUUCAUCCAAAGCAGAAUCUCAUUAUUCUCACCUCCCAGGCAAUGAAUGAAGAAUCAGGAAAGCAAUUUCAGAUGCCAGUAGUCUCCGUUCACUGUACAAGCUCUAAUCCCUUGCAAUCUCUUGCCAAAGCAGCUUUUAACAGGGCAUACAUUUAAAACACUGCAUGAGCAUUUAAUUAAGCUUCCCGUAACUCUGAUGAUUACUUAUCUGGUAAUGAGAGGCACACUGGGGACUCUUGCUGCAGCUUUGUUUUCUUUCCUUUUGUAGUAAUUAGCAUAGACAUUUUCAUCAUCCAUAUUUUGAAGAAAAUCCUCUUAUGUAUUUGCUAGAGGCAAAGAGGAAGCUCUCCUUGACUUCUGUAUGCGAGCUUCAGCUCUUUAGGAAUUUAAUUGGUAUCAUUUUGCUACUGCUAAUAAUCAAUGGGGAGCCGUACCAGUAAAAGUACUGUUGACCAAAACAAUAGAAAGCUACAAUUUAACAUGGAUAAGAUUAAAUGUGGCUAUAGUAGAAGCAAAAAAAACCAUCUUUCCUAAUGAUAUCCACUACAAGAACACCACCCCAGAUACUCUGAAUUACUUCACAUCUGGAUACAGUGCUUCAACAGCAAAGUAUACGACCUCUAAAUCAAUAUGCAUGAGAAAAGCACGUCCUCCUGUCUAGCUGAACAACAGCCUGACUUGUCCUGGUAGAAUCAGCAAUUAAAGAGACACUUGAAGUCAUCUGCGCUUCUCUACUGUGUUUUUUCAAUCUAGAAUUGUAUCCUUAAUAGAUCCUGGAUAAUCUUACUUCAGCUGCUUUUAUUUACAACCAAUAUUUAAAUAGCUAAAUGUGCAUGCACUGCUUUCAUUUUCUCUUGACUUCCUUCCUACCUGUGUUUUUCCCUUUUCCAUCCUUACUGAAGUUGGAAACAUUUUUACUUUUACUCUGGGAGCCGUUCUCCUAUGCCCUUUUUUAUUCCAAGUGCUCCUCUUUUGAAAGGUGAAAGUGGUAGAUCCUGUACUGUUACCAAGGGGAGGAGAAACAAACUAAGAUGGAACGAUCUCAUAGUCAUUAACUAUGCAUAUUUUCCCUUCUUUUAACUAAAAUAUACCCAAGAACUUCUUGAAGAGGUCCAGUUACAAGCAAACUAAGUGUGAUCUUGGACUAAAACCUUGCUCCAUAACAGCCUUUCUUAGAACAUAAUUUGCAAUGAUCCUCCUCUAAGCUCUUCAAACCCGUGUUAGUUUUAACCUAACAGCACAGAUAGGUCUGUUUGUAGUCUUGGCCACAAAACUGUUUGAUGUUAACAAUUUUAUUUGCUUAGGGCAAACACUGGGAUCAAACCCCACCUACAAAUAUCAUCCCAUUUAAGACAGAGUUUUCAUUUGGAGGAAACAAAUUUAGAUUUAUAGUUAAGAGGUUUGGGCAAAAAUGGACUGAAAAGAUUUAUGUAAUGCUUUCUAGUACGCCAUUGAAGAAAGAGAUCUCUGAAUAAAUGAAGAAGAAACACCAUGAAGUGGAAGGGAACGUUAAAGACAGAAAAAAAAGACGAGAAACAGUACUUGGAGAGACAGGAUGAAGAAAAACUGGGAAAGGUGAAGAGCACAGCACUGCUUUUUCCUGUACAUGAAAGCAGUUCAACAACAUUGUGAUUUGAGACAAGAAAGGGUGCGAGGAAGCACAGUUAGAAGCAGGGAUAAAUGCUUCAAGUCUUAAAAGUGAGUUUUUCCAGUAUUAAAUACAGAAUAAAGAACUACUGCUGUCAAGCAUUGAUUCACCAUAUAGCUGUAGCACAUCAUCCUCACUGAGAGGUCCAACCUGGAACCAGCACACAUUGCAGUGAGAUGAUAUGGCCCAUGAAGACCACUGCCCUAACAGACAGUCAGAGGUGCUGUGAAUCUUAUUUCUACCCUCACAGAUGGGCAGAGCCUGUGGACUUCUCCAUUCCAGCCCCCUGCACACUUCUGCUACGCAGCACAUUAGCAUGAGAAGACCACAGCAGCGGGAGGUGGUUCAGAACAAAGAGGUGUGCUCCAUGAAACAACACCUUCCAAAAGCACAACUUACUUUACAUAACAUGACUUUGAGUGAAGAGGAUAAGAAAACCAGGCACAGCACUCACAAGCUGUUGGUCAGCAGGUAAGAAACAGCUUUCACUCAGAUUUGCUCACAACAGCCCAGAUUACCUGUAUUUUCCCCAUCCUCACCAUUUUAUUUUGUGCUCUGCUACCAAACUAGAAUUUGAGCGUCAUGGUGGGGUUCUGGAUUAAAUUAAAUGAAAGAAAUUUAAGCUUUAAGGAACACUGGCAGCACAUUGGGUUUAGUUAAAGCUUAAAAUCCAAAUCCAGAAAGAAAACAAGAUUUUGAUACAAUAUGCUGCAGCAAUCUAGAAUGCCUCAAAGAAAAUCUAAUUAGAACACUCCAUGACACAGAAAUACCUUGAAGCUCCAGGAGAUGUGUUGGUAAAGUUGGUGAGAAAGAGGAGAAGAAACAGCAUUUCAGGUAUUAUAGAAAUUGGAAGGUUAAAAUUUAUGUAUUAUUUCCCUAGAAUUUGUUGAGUUGGCAUGAACUUCCAUAUACCUGCUUUGAAACCCUGAAAUCUCCAUUCUGCAUCCUGGCUCUCAAUCCAGAAGUGCAACAAAACUUACAAUAACUCUGAAUAUAUUUCCACUGCUUCCCUAGGCAAAUUUUUAUGUUCAGUGGAGUAAAAUUGCCAGCUCUCCCAGGUUAUACAUCAAUUACCAGAUCCAUAGAAUGUGCUACAUUUGCCAAUUGCUGAAGUAUUCAAGUGCAUUUUAUGCCACACAAAAUUAAACAGAUUAUUAAGAGCGCAGAGAUGUUCUGACUCAGCACAGAAACUGUUUUUUCCCCCCCAAGUACUUAAAAUGUCAUAUAAACAGGAAGUCAAUUAGGUAUCAGGAAAUUCCAGAGCAUUUAACUCAAAGAAAGCCUAGAUUAAAGGAUACCAUUAACAUAUCAUCCUAAGGCAAAGGUCUGCCACUUAGAACACCUUGGCCUCGAUUACCUCAAAUGUAACUUGGGGGAUAACUAUUUGAUGUGUAGAGAUUGAGCACCAUUCUCCUUUUUAAGGGGAAAAAAAGAUAUCAAAAAGAGCACGGACAAAUAUUUGAUCAUAUCAAGAAGUGAAUCAACCUCAGGGAAACUCGUUGCUUUACUACAAAUAAAACUCCAUCAGUCACUA